UUACAAAUAACUCUAAAAGGAAAUAUUGAGUAAUAAUUACACAAUCAACUAAUAACGAAAAUAAUCCUACAUAAUUGAAAAAAUAUAAUAAAAAAUUAUUCUAGACAAUAUUUCCAUAUUCCAUAUCUUUAACAAUAAGUAACAAGAACUAUGAAUUAAAAACCUUUGAAGUGCCCCGGCAACUCCCAUAGUCAAGGUCCAUGGUUCUUGAACAUUAAUCUUUAUUCGAAAUUGCAGGUAAUUGUAAUAAUUAACUGUAGAUCAUCAAAGAAGAAGAUAUACAAAAUUAGCCCAAAAAUAACAAAUGAAGACAUAAUACUACGAGAAAACACCAAAUGAUAGCUUAAUAGCUCUAAUUUCCUACCAAAAAUAGGUAAAAAGUAACAAAUGUUGCCUACUUCUCACUAAACCCAUGUGGCAUGCUCACGCCUUCAGCAUUUUCAAUAAGAUGACAUCUAUAAUCUUAAGAACAUUAAAUGAAUCCAUCUCUUAUCAAAAUCAUUAACAAAAUGUAAGCGUCAGAUUAAUUGGAACUCAUUCAUUUGCUAUACUUUCUUCCCUUCUUGUAAUUGAUAAUAAGGAAAAGUGCACGAUUCUUCAGUGGGCCUCUAAUAUAAGCAAGGAAAAACCCAUCCAAUACAUAUAAAGAUAGCUUGAAACCCACAAAAAUUCUUAAGUUUACACAAAAAGUUGUGACAAUUCUUGAUUUUUUCAAAGACGACAAAAUACAUUAGGCAAAAAACAAGAGAAGGAGCAUGUAAGUGGGCAAGAAAACCAAGAUCACAUGGUCCAACGACAGGUGCAUUAUCAAAUUAAUCCCACCAACUUGAGCCCACAGGAAUAAAGACGAAUUUAAGGACCUCCAAACCCGUUCUCUUUAUGCAGACCCCUAUACAUAUAUACAUACAAAUAAAUAUACACAUGCACUUCGCUUGAAGAUUGAGCCAAAUUCCGACCAACUUGAAGAAAUGGGAACACACACAUGGACGCAUAUACACAAAUACUGUUAAAAAAAUGUACAAGAUAAAAGAAUAACACCACUUGCUUGAAAAGCUGAUAAUGGGUAGCUCAAGACAUGAAUACAUGGCUCUGAUUUCACGUAAAACUAAUUCAACAAUGGCCCAAUGAGGAUCUCUAAAGCAUUCUAAACAAAACUAAUUAGCAACACUUACCAGGUCUAAAAGCAAAUACGAAUACAAAUUCUGUGAAGGCCUUGAAAUUGUGAAAGAUGAAAGGGUAGAGGAAUGUACCAGUGUCAUACUGUAUCAACUUGUGUGUAGAGGCAGCACCAUGUGAUUGUAGUAUGUGAAGAAAUCAUCACCGACUUUGACAUAAAUUUUCUAGAUUCAUGUAGAAUUUACCAUCUUUACUAUCCCUUCUCAACCAAAGAAAAGUCUAGA
rnacentral:lncRNA from 1 species